AUUGAACGCUGGCGGAAUGCUUUACACAUGCAAGUCGAACGGCAGCACGGACUUCGGUCUGGUGGCGAGUGGCGAACGGGUGAGUAAUGUAUCGGAACGUGCCCAGUCGUGGGGGAUAACGUAGUGAAAAUUACGCUAAUACCGCAUACGAUCUAUGGAUGAAAGCGGGGGAUCGCAAGACCUCGCGCGAUUGGAGCGGCCGAUAUCAGUUUAGGUAGUUGGUGGGGUAAAGGCCCACCAAGCCGACGAUCUGGAGCUGGUCUGAGAGGACGACCAGCCACGCUGGAUCUGAGACACGGUCCAGACUCCUGCGGGAGGCAGCAGUGGGGAAUCUUGCACAAGGGGCGAAAGCCUGAUCCAGCCAUUCCGCGUGCAGGAUGAAGGCCCUCGGGUGGUAAACUGCUUUUGUACAGAACGAAAAGGUUUCUACUAAUACUAGGAGCUCAUGACGGUACUGUAAGAAUAAGCACCGGCUAACUACGUGCCAGCCGCCGCAGUAA
rnacentral:rRNA from 1 species